AUUGAACGCUGGCGGCAUGCCUUACACAUGCAAGUCGAACGGCAGCGGGGGAGAAGCUUGCUUUUCCUGCCGGCGAGUGGCGAACGGGUGAGUAAUACAUCGGAACGUGCCCUGUAGAGGGGGAUAACUAGUCGAAAGAUUAGCUAAUACCGCAUACGACCUGAGGGUGAAAGUGGGGGACCGCAAGGCCUCAUGCUAUAGGGGCGGCCGAUGUCUGAUUAGCUAGUUGGUGGGGUAAAGGCCUACCAAGGCGACGAUCAGUAGCUGGUCUGAGAGGACGAUCAGCCACACUGGGACUGGGACACGGCCCAGACUCCUACGGGAGGCAGCGGUGGGGAAUUGUGGACAAUGGGCGAAAGCCUGAUCCAGCAAUGCCGCGUGUGUGAAGAAGGCCUUCGGGUUGUAAAGCACUUUUGUCCGGAAAGAAAUGGCUCUGGUUAAUACCUGGGGUCGAUGACGGUACCGGAAGAAUAAGGACCGGCUAACUACGUGCCAGCAGCCGCCGUAACAC
rnacentral:rRNA from 1 species